rnacentral:rRNA from 1 species
AUUGAACGCUGGCGGCAGGCCUAACACAUGCAAGUCGAACGGUAACAGGAAGCAGCUUGCUGCUUUGCUGACGAGUGGCGGACGGGUGAGUAAUGUCUGGGAAACUGCCUGAUGGAGGGGGAUAACUACUGGAAACGGUAGCUAAUACCGCAUAACGUCGCAAGACCAAAGAGGGGGACCUUCGGGCCUCUUGCCAUCGGAUGUGCCCAGAUGGGAUUAGCUAGUAGGGGGGGUAACGGCUCACCUAGGCGACGAUCCCUAGCUGGUCUGAGAGGAUGACCAGCCACACUGGAACUGAGACACGGUCCAGACUCCUACGGGAGGCAGCAGUGGGGAAUAUUGCACAAUGGGCGCAAGCCUGAUGCAGCCAUGCCGCGUGUAUGAAGAAGGCCUUCGGGUUGUAAAGUACUUUCAGCGGGGAGGAAGGGAGUAAAGUUAAUACCUUUGCUCAUUGACGUUACCCGCAGAAGAAGCACCGGCUAACUCCGUG